UAUAAAGGCAUUCCAGUACACGUACACUCCCAUUCUUCAUUUCCAAAAUAAAAGAAUCAUACUUCCUUCCUCUCUACGGUAUUUCUAAAAGCUCCGUCGUCUGCACCAAAUCGGCCGGUCACCGCCGCUGUGGUGUUCGCACCGUCCAGAUCGGCAGGUCCGUUUUUUUUUUUUCCCCCGAAGCAGUCCCGAUUAACCCCGCAGAUAAGUUCUUAGUUUGAUUUCGAUUGUGGUUAUUGUUUUGAUAAUCCGAUUUGAUUGAGUGAGAAACAUGCUAUGCAGUUCAUGGAUUGAUGAAUUGAAUUGGGGAAGAAGAUUAUACCUUCAAAAGAACAACUUGGCUUGAAACAAAAGCUUGCAGUUUCUGGCUUCCCCCUUUCUACUGCUCCCUCCGCCGUUUUUGUGAAGAGGAAGAUAUGCCAGAAUGGGUGAAGAGAUGGAGACGUAAUUGCUGCGACGUGGGAGGGGAGCAAAUUUUGAAUUGAGGAUUCAACGUGAGGAGAAGAGUUCUGAUGUCGGAAGAAAGAUUUCAGAGUACUGGGCUCAAAAGGAAAUGAGAUUGGGCCAGGGAUAUUAUUUGAAUGAGUAUUAGUUUGGGCUCAAGACCCUGUUAAAAUUUUAUUUAAAUAGUAUAGCCCAUAAUUUAUUUUCUACCAGACUGGGCUUUAGUAAUAUUUAUUCAAUUUAUCGGAUCCAACACGAAAUUGAGUCCAAUAAAUAUUCCUCACGGAAAGGAAUUAUUUAAA